ensembl:lncRNA
UUUUUCUCUUUUUUUUCGAUUUCCUUAUUUCUUAUAUUUUAAUGAUUUAAUUAUUCGUUUAUUCGUUUAUUUGCUUAUUUGCUUAUUUGCUUAUUUGCUUAUUUGCCUUUUGCUUAUUUGCUUAUUUGCUUUUUGCUUAUUUGCUUUUUGCUUAUUUGCUUUUUGCUUAUUUGCUUAUUCUUUACCCCCUCGCAGUUUAGCAGUAAGCCACAAUACAUACGGCAAUUUGGAAUUUUUAAAAGAAAAAAAAAAAAAUAAAUAAAAUAAUUUAGCCCUGUACUAUACAGAAUAAACAAAAAUUAAAUAUGUAACUGCCUUUACAUCCUUUUCUAUUUUUUUUUUACAUUCAUGAAUUUUCAAAAAUGAUUGAAUAUACAUAGUGACGAAUGAGCGAAUUAUUUAAUCGACAAACGAUCAAACUGAUUAGUUGAUAAACGAGAGAACAGUUGAACAGACAAGUGGACAUAAAAAACUAACAGAAUGCGAAUACGCCUAUAUAACACACUGUAUGCUUUCUUAUCCCUUAUAAGCGGUAUAUUAUCAUAUAAUGGAAAAAAUACAAACCAAAUUGUAAUUGGAAAUAUACAAAAGUCGUAUGAUUUUAAUUUUAGUAAAAAAAGAAAAAACACAAAGUUAAAUAGUUUUUGUUCUUUACAAUGUAAUAAUAUGAAAAUACUACAAAGAAAAAAAGUGAAAAAUAAAAUAAAAUUUUAUUUUAUUAACAAGUUUCAACCGUUUUGUAGUGUAAACGGAGAGGAGAAGAGAGAGCUCAAAUGUAGUAGUACCAACCGUAACAUAUAUAGUUACAGUAGUAAACGAAAAUUUCGAUGUAACAGUUAUGAUGCAAAAGAUAUAGUAAUUUUAGAAGGGUUAGAAGCCGUUCGAAAAAGGCCUGGGAUGUAUAUAGGCAAUACUGAUGUGAGUGGUUUGCACCAAUUGUUAUUUGAACUUGUUGAUAAUGCUGUAGAUGAAUAUAAUAAUUUUGAAUGUAAUAAAAUAAAAGUAAUUAUUCAUUCUGAUGAAAGUAUAACAGUUGAAGAUAAUGGAAGAGGUAUCCCUUGCGAUAUACAUGAGAAAACGGGAAAGUCCGCAUUAGAAACUGUUUUAACAGUUUUACAUUCUGGUGCCAAAUUUUCUGAUGAUUCUUCUGAAAACAAUAUUGUAAAGAGUGAUGAGUAUAAAACAGUGGAAUGUGAAAAAUCACGUGACCGUAUCAACGGGAACCAUCCAUUUGGUAAAGAUUUAUCAGAGAACGCAAUCGAAUGGGACAGUAGUAAUAGUAACAACCCAAAAAAAAACAAAGCGAAGCAACAAGAAAACAACCAAAUGUAUAAAUAUUCAUCAGGAUUACACGGAGUCGGUCUAUCAGUUUCUAACGCAUUAAGUAGUUAUAUGAAAGUGAAGGUAUUUCGAAAUAAAAAAAUUUAUAAUAUUGAACUUGAAAAAGGUAAAGUUGUAAAAGAGUUAAAUGUGACUGAUGCUGAUUACGCUAUAGAUAGAAGAGGAACACAAAUACGUUAUAAAGCUGAUAGUACAAUUUUUCGAAAUAAUAUAAAAUAUAAUAGUGAAAUAAUAAAAAAACGUUUCCACCAGUUGGCAUAUCUGAAUGACAAAUUAAGUUUUUAUUUUUACGAUGAAAGAGUUGGGUUUAACAAAAAUGUUAAGAAAAACGCAUCAUCUAAAAAUGAUAAUAUAACGAAUGGGACGAAUGAAAAUAGUGAAACUGGAUUGGAAGAAAUAGACCUAGCAGAAAUAAACUUGUCUGAUUAUGAUGACAAUUUAAAUAAAUACAAUUUUGAAAUAAUAAAACAUGAAGGAGGACUAAAUGAAUAUAUUGAAGAUUUAACAAAAGGUUCACAAAACUUAUUUAAAGAGAAUGAUAAAAUAAUUAGUUUAUCUUGUUAUAGAAAUAAUGUACAUGUUGAUUUAAAAAUGAAGUGGGUAGCUAAUAAUUACAAUGAGAAUAUCAUAAGUUUUGUAAAUAAUGUUAAUACAAUUAAUAAUGGUACACAUGUUGAUGCUUUAAAAUACGCAAUAACUAAAUGCGUUAAUUAUAGUAUAAAAAAAACGGAUUCUAUUAAAAAUUUUAUUAAUGUACCAGGUGAAUAUAUAAGAGAAGGGU